rnacentral:rRNA from 1 species
GGAUCCAGACUUUGAUCAUGGCUCAGGAUGAACGCUAGCUACAGGCUUAACACAUGCAAGUCGAGGGGCAGCGGUAUCGGAAGCUUGCUUUCGGUAGCCGGCGACCGGCGCACGGGUGAGUAACGCGUAUCGAACCUGCCUCAUACUCGGGAAUAGCCUUGCGAAAGUAAGAUUAAUGCCCGGUGUUUUCAGAGUCCCGCAUGAGGCUUUGAACAAAGAUUUAUCGGUAUGAGAUGGCGAUGCGUCCCAUUAGCUUGUUGGCGGGGUAACGGCCCACCAAGGCAUCGAUGGGUAGGGGUUCUGAGAGGAAGGUCCCCCACAUUGGAACUGAGACACGGUCCAAACUCCUACGGGAGGCAGCAGUGAGGAAUAUUGGUCAAUGGGCGGAAGCCUGAACCAGCCAAGUAGCGUGCAGGAAGACGGCCCUCCGGGUUGUAAACUGCUUUUAGUUGGGAAUAAAACGGGGCUCGUGAGCCCCCUUGCAUGUACCAUCAGAAAAAGGACCGGCUAAUUCCGUGCCAGCAGCCGCGGUAAUACGGAAGGUCCGGGCGUUAUCCGGAUUUAUUGGGUUUAAAGGGAGCGCAGGCGGACCUUUAAGUCAGCUGUGAAAUACGGCGGCUCAACCGUCGAACUGCAGUUGAUACUGGAGGUCUUGAGUGCACACAGGGAUGCUGGAAUUUAUGGUGUAGCGGUGAAAUGCUCAGAUAUCAUGAAGAACUCCGAUCGCGAAGGCAGGCAUCCGGGGUGCAACUGACGCUGAGGCUCGAAAGUGCGGGUAUCAAACAGGAUUAGAUACCCUGGUAGUCCGCACAGUAAACGAUGAAUACUCGCGGUUUGCGAUACAGUGUAAGCCGCCAAGCGAAAGCGUUAAGUAUUCCACCUGGGGAGUACGCCGGCAACGGUGCAACUCAAAGGAAUUGACGG